UCUUUCUCAAUGGAGGUGCCUUGUAUCUU
rnacentral:piRNA from 1 species